rnacentral:rRNA from 1 species
GCAAGUCUGGUGCCAGCAGCCGCGGUAAUUCCAGCUCCAAUAGCGUAUAUUAAAGUUGUUGUGGUUAAAAAGCUCGUAGUUGAACCUUGGGCCUGGCUGGCCGGUCCGCCUCACCGCGUGUACUGGUCCGGCCGGGCCUUUCCCUCUGUGGAACCCCAUGCCCUUCACUGGGUGUGGCGGGGAAACAGGACUUUUACUUUGAAAAAAUUAGAGUGCUCCAGGCAGGCCUAUGCUCGAAUACAUUAGCAUGGAAUAAUAGAAUAGGACGUGUGGUUCUAUUUUGUUGGUUUCUAGGACCGCCGUAAUGAUUAAUAGGGACAGUCGGGGGCAUCAGUAUUCAAUUGUCAGAGGUGAAAUUCUUGGAUUUAUUGAAGACUAACUACUGCGAAAGCAUUUGCCAAGGAUGUUUUCAUUAAUCAGGAACGAAAGUUAGGGGAUCGAAGACGAUCAGAUACCGUCGUAGUCUUAACCAUAAACUAUGCCGACUAGGGAUCGGACGAUGUUAUUUUUUGACUCGUUCGGCGCCUUACGGGAAAC